GGAUUAGAUACCCUGGUAGUCCACGCCGUAAACGAUGAGAACUAGAUGUCGGGGCCUUGAGCUUCGGUAUCGCAGCUAACGCAAUAAGUUCUCCGCCUGGGGAGUACGGCCGCAAGGCUAAAACUCAAAGGAAUUGACGGGGGCCCGCACAAGCGGUGGAGCAUGUGGUUUAAUUCGAUGCAACGCGAAAAACCUUACCUACCUUUGACAUCCCAGGAAGCGCUCAGAAGUGAGCGUGUGCCUUCGGGAACCUGGUGACAGGUGCUGCAUGGCUGUCGUCAGCUCGUGCCG
rnacentral:rRNA from 1 species